rnacentral:rRNA from 1 species
UACGUAGGUGACAAGCGUUGUCCGGAUUUACUGGGCGUAAAGAGCGCGCAGGCGGUCGUUCAAGUCGAGUGUGAAAGCCCCCGGCUCAACUGGGGAGGGUCACUCGAUACUGAUCGACUCGAAGGCAGGAGAGGGAAGUGGAAUUCCCGGUGUAGUGGUGAAAUGCGUAGAUAUCGGGAGGAACACCAGUGGCGAAGGCGACUUCCUGGCCUGUUCUUGACGCUGAGGCGCGAAAGCUAGGGGAGCAAACAGG